rnacentral:rRNA from 1 species
CACAAGCGGUGGAGCAUGUGGUUUAAUUNGAAGCAACGCGAAGAACCUUACCAAAUCUUGACAUCNUCUGACCCCUCUAGAGAUAGAGUUUUCCCCUUCGGGGGACAGAGUGACAGGUGGUGCAUGGUUGUCGUCAGCUCGUGUCGUGAGAUGUUGGGUUAAGUCCCGCAACGAGCGCAACCCUUAAGCUUAGUUGCCAUCAUUAAGUUGGGCACUCUAAGUUGACUGCCGGCGACAAACCGGAGGAAGGUGGGGAUGACGUCAAAUCAUCAUGCCCCUUAUGAUUUGGGCUACACACGUGCUACAAUGGACAAUACAAAGGGUAGCGAAACCGCGAGGUCAAGCAAAUCCCAUAAAGUUGUUCUCAGUUCGGAUUGUAGUCUGCAACUCGACUAUAUGAAGCUGGAAUCGCUAGUAAUCGUAGAUCAGCAUGCUACGGUGAAUACGUUCCCGGGUCUUGUACACACCGCCCGUCACACCACGAGAGUUUGUAACACCCGA